rnacentral:lncRNA from 1 species
GGAUGCUGUCGCCCUGGUGACGUCACUCCUGGCAGGCAUGACGUCACCCUCACUAAGCGCGCUAGCUGGGAGGCAAGGCUACACCAGGUUCCCUCCUGCCCCACAUCGUUCUCCCAGACUCCAUUUCCCAACAUUCCCCGGCUAUAGAGACCUGAGGCCGGGAGGAGCGUGAGCCCGCU